rnacentral:rRNA from 1 species
UACGAGGGGGGCGAGCGUUGUUCGGAAUUAUUGGGCGUAAAGGGCGCGUAGGCGGCUGAACAAGUCAAAGGUGAAAUCCCUCGGCUCAACUGAGGAACUGCCUUUGAAACUGUUCGGCUUGAGGCCGGGAGGGGGUAGCGGAAUUCCCAGUGUAGCGGUGAAAUGCGUAGAUAUUGGGAGGAACACCAGUGGCGAAGGCGGCUACCUGGACCGGUUCUGACGCUGAGGCGCGAAAGCGUGGGUAGCAAACAGG